GGCGCGGUGGCGGAAUUGGUAGACGCGCAGGUCUCAAAAACCUGUGGUGGCAACAUCAUGUGGGUUCAACUCCCACNNUGUGGGUUCGAUUCCCACCCGCGCCACAA
rnacentral:tRNA from 1 species